UCUUACAUCGACCACUUAACAGUCGAAUCGUAAGAGUCCUUGUCGAGGACACGCUCUCAUCCUCUUGAACAACCUCAGCUAAACAAAAUGCGUGAGUGUAUCUCCAUCCACGUCGGUCAGGCUGGUGUCCAGAUUGGCAAUGCCUGCUGGGAGCUAUACUGCCUGGAACAUGGCAUCCAGCCGGAUGGACAGAUGCCCAGUGACAAGACCAUCGGAGGAGGAGAUGAUUCCUUCAAUACGUUCUUCAGUGAGACUGGAGCAGGGAAGCACGUCCCCAGAGCUGUUUUUGUGGACCUGGAGCCCACUGUGAUUGAUGAGGUGCGCACUG